rnacentral:rRNA from 1 species
CCCUACGGGGGGCAGCAGUAGGGAAUUUUCGUCAAUGGGCGCAAGCCUGAACGAGCGAUGCCGCGUGAGUGAAGAAGGCCUUCGGGUCGUAAAGCUCUGUUGCGGGGGAAAAAAGGCAGCAUCAGGAAAUGGGUGCUGACUGAUGGUGCCCCGCCAGAAAGUCACGGCUAACUACGUGCCAGCAGCCGCGGUAAUACGUAGGUGGCGAGCGAUAUCCGGAAUGACUGGGCGUAACGGGUGCGCAGUCGGUCCUGCAAGUCUGGCGUGAAACGCAUUAGCUCAAAU